rnacentral:rRNA from 1 species
AUGACUGAGAUGACCAUCUUUGUGCUCCAGGACCAUGAGCACGGUGUCUGGGCAUUUCAGUACCGGAUCAAACUGCCGGUGACGGAAAUCAGGCGCUUCCAGAAGCAAGGUGAUUGGUGCGCGAAGGUUGUCUCUGAGGAGGGAGACGUGCUUGUCUGCUGCUAUAACUAUCACCUGCAAUGUGACAGAAUGGGUAAUUUGGUAGCAGACGUUAGGUAUUGUUAUGGCAUGCGCCGCCUGCCCGUGGUAAUUUCUCAUAGUUUCAAAGAGAGCCUUAUCCAGCAUGCUUUUUCCAAAAGAUGA